AUCAGCGGUGGCGGAGCUCCUCCUGCUGGCUCCUCGGCAGCCCCAGCUGCAGCUUGCUCUGCUUCCCGCUGGCAUCUCGCUACUUCAUAGAUUUGCAGAUGCUGAGCUUGCCAGACCCAGCCUCGGAAUGUCCAUGGUCAGAUCUUGUGAACUUCAUUCUUACAAAAUACAUCAAGAAAUGCCAGGAUGCGUGCGCAUAACCAUAGACUGCACUUUCUAUGAGCAAACUUGUCAUCCAAAACCUGUGCUACAUAAUUAUUUAAAAAAUAUACGGUAGCAUUGCUCAGAUCUGAGAUGUUGCUCCUAAUUUUGGAGUUAACAACUGUUUGUGGGCUGUUUGUGGUACUCCUGUCUCAGGCAGGAAGCCGUGGGCCUGUGCCUUCUGCCACAGACUCUCUGCAGGCAUUUGGAGCUCAUUAAUGCCCUCGUGCCCCUGUGCCCUCCUCUGCUCACUGGCAUCUUGUUGUUGAUACUAAAUGAACCAAGAGAGCUGUCUUUAACCAGGUGGCUAAUGUGGGAGGAGGAUUUGCAGGAAUAAUACCUGGACUCCAAUUAAAAUUUACUUGAAAGCUUAUUAUAAACAUGUUCAGGAGAGGCUAUGUAUGUUAAUCUUUGAGAAAGCAGCUUAUUUGGAGGCAGCUAAAGACUGACUGGUGUUUCAGCUCUCUCCAGUACGCAAGCAAGCGUUCAUAAGUCGACUUACACUUGCAUUUCAGAGGAUUUUUUUUUCAGCUUCCCUUCACAGAGCCACAGGACAAGGAGGAGGAGACGUCUGAAAAUAGUGUCUUUAAGAAUAAUGGUGCAGAAAUAAAUGUACUCAGAAAAAUUAUGGAGGAGGUCUGUAUAAAUGUUGGGUGAGCACUUUCUUUCAUAGGGGAGAGGGAAAUCUGUGAAAGUGCUUUUAGAAAGAAGUGAGAUGGACAAUUUUCCUUUGGCUUUUCUGCAUGGGUUAUACUAUAUAAUUUAGAUUUGUAUUGAUGCAUUUCUGUGAUAUUUGGAAUGCUAUCCUCUUAAAAACGUUAUAUGUGAAAACACAUGGUUUUCAUAUAAAAAGGUGUGAUAGACUGAACAGGAGAAAACUAAACCAGAUCAUUGUGAAAGUUUGG